GUGGGGAAUCUUGCGCAAUGGGCGAAAGCCUGACGCAGCCAUGCCGCGUGAAUGAUGAAGGUCUUAGGAUUGUAAAAUUCUUUCACCGGGGACGAUAAUGACGGUACCCGGAGAAGAAGCUCCGGCUAACUUCGUGCCAGCAGCCGCGGUAAUACGAAGGGGGCUAGCGUUGCUCGGAAUUACUGGCGUAAAGGGCGCGUAGGCGGACAGCUUAGUCAGAGGUGAAAGCCCAGGGCUCAACCUUGGAAUUGCCUUUGAUACUGGCUGUCUUGAGUUUGGGAGAGGUGAGUGGAACUCCGAGUGUAGAGGUGAAAUUCGUAGAUAUUCGGAAGAACACCAGUGGCGAAGGCGACUCACUGGCCCAAUACUGACGCUGAGGCGCGAAAGCGUGGGGAGCAAACAGGAUUAGAAACCCUGGUAGUCC
rnacentral:rRNA from 1 species